rnacentral:rRNA from 1 species
ACAAUAUGAAAAACAUCAACCAACCCUUCAAUUCUAUUGAACCAUUUUAUAUAUAUAUAUAAAAAUUAUUAUGCUAGAACUAGUAACAAGAAAUUGACUUUCUCCUAGAUGUAAACUUAGCCCAAGUUGGACCCCCCAUUGGAAAUUAACGUAUUUAUAAAAAUUAUAGCACACCCAACUAGAAAACCCUAUAAUAAUUAACGUUCAUCUAACACCAGAACAUCAAAGGAAAGAUUUAAAGAGGGAGAAGGAACUCGGCAAAUUUUAACGGCCCCGCCUGUUUACCAAAAACAUCGCCUUCUGCUAACACAUAGAAGGUCCAGCCUGCCCAGUGACAUAGUUUAACGGCCGCGGUACCCUAACCGUGCGAAGGUAGCAUAAUCACUUGUUCUCUAAAUAGGGACUUGUAUCAACGGCAUCACGAGGGCUACACUGUCUCCUCCCUCAAAUCAGUGAAACUGAUCUCCCCGUGAAGAAGCGGGGAUAAAUUUAUAAGACGAGAAGACCCCAUGGAGCUUAAAACUCAAUGUAUACCCAUAGAUAACUAAACCCGUUUAAUCUAGAAAAUUAUAUAUUAGUUUUAGGCUGGGGGGGCCGCGGAGCAAAACCUAACCUCCACGACAAACAGGUUAAUAUCCUUAUCCACGAACUACACCUCUAAGAAUCAGUAAACUGAUGUACCAUGACCCAUUAUAUGAUCAACGAACCAAGUUACCCUGGGGAUAACAGCGCAAUCUACUUUGAGAGCCCAUAUCGACAAGUAGGUUUACGACCUCGAUGUUGGAUCAGGAAAUCCCAGUGGUGCAGCCGCUACUA